ensembl:snRNA U6 U6 spliceosomal RNA
ACGCUUCCCUCAGCAGCACAUAUACUAAAACUGGACUGAUACAGAGAAGAUUAGCAUGGUCCCUGCACAAGGAUGACACGCAAAUUCAUGAAGCAUUCCAUGUUAAA